AUGAACAAUACGAGGUGGGAUCUGCUCACCCGGCUAGCGGCGGAGGCUGCGCGUUCGCCGCUGCGGUUCGCGAACGGGAGCGUGCCGUACGCGGACAGAUCGCAGUCGCCGACGACCAUGCACGGUCUGGUGCAGUGCACGAGGGACCUGAACUCGAGCGAGUGCAGCAGGUGCCUUACCGAAUUCGUGUCAAACCUCUCGAGUGUGUUCCCUAGCAACACCGGUGGUUGCAUCAAGGGCUACAGCUGCUACGCCUUAUACAACAUCGGCGACGAUGACUUCCUCCGUGUCACUAUUCCGCCGCCACUUGCACAGCCACCGCCGUCCAAGCUCCCGCCAGGAGCCGGAGAAGCUCCGCCACUUGCCGCCGUCAGGACUAGCAGCAGGACGCAGCUGGUGGCCAGGGUGUUUGCCGGUGUCGUCAUCAUGUUGGUCAUCUCAUCGAGUCUCUUGGUUUGUUUCCUUUUAGGCCGUCGGAGGCGGAAUCGCAUGGCGAGACAAGUAGAUACUUUUGACGAUGAUCCAUUGGAAGAGGACUUCGAGAAAGGGACCGGGCCCAAGCGGUUUCGCUAUAGCGAUCUUGCCGUCGCCACCAGCAACUUCUCCGACCAGAUGAAGCUGGGUGAAGGUGGUUUCGGUUCGGUGUACAAAGGAUUCUUGAAGGAGCUUAAAGUUGAGGUGGCUAUAAAAAGAAUAUUCAAGACCUCCAAGCAGGGCAGGAAGGAGUACAUCUCAGAGGUGAAGAUCAUAAGCCGGCUAAGACAUCGAAACCUCGUGCAACUCAUUGGCUGGUGCCAUGGCGGCGGCGAGCUCUUACUUGUCUAUGAUCUUAUGCCCCACGGCAGCCUAGACACUCAUCUUUACAGUUCAAACACCAUAUUAUCGUGGCCACUCAGGUAUGAGAUUGUGCUGGGGUUAGAGUCUGCACUUCUGUACCUGCACCAGGACUGGGAGCAAUGUGUUCUGCACCGUGACAUCAAGCCAAGCAACAUCGUGUUGGACAUGUCGUUCUGUGCCAAACUUGGUGACUUUGGGCUUGCGCGGCUUGUCGACCACGACCGAGGACCAUACACGACUGGUAUUGCAGGAACAAUGGGCUACAUGGACCCUGAGUGCAUGGUCACGGGAAGGACAAGCGCCGAGUCUGAUGUCUACAGCUUCGGUGUAGUCAUGCUCGAGAUCGCCUGCGGCAAGCGACCCGCUGUUUCUCGGGGGCGAGAAGACAUCAUUCAUCUGGUGCAAUGGGUCUGGGAUUCAUGGGAAUGCGGAAGGACCCUUGCCGCGGCCGAUGCACAGCUCAACCUGGAGUUCGACGACCGGGAGAUGGAGUGCAUGAUGGCGGUCGGGCUCUGGUGCGCGCACCCUGACAGGACCCUGAGACCAUCCAUCAAGCAAGCGGUUAGCGUGCUACGAUUUGAGGCACCUCCGCCAAGCCUUCCAGCAAAGAUGCCCGUCGCCACAUUUACGGCGACAGUUGAUUCUUCAUUUGUUUCUGCAUCUCAGCUUACAGGCGGUAGAUGA
rnacentral:rRNA from 1 species